GCAGAGGAUUUGUUUUGGCUGGAAAAGCGUACAGGCGCCGCGGAAACUAUGCUCUACCAGUCAUGUAUUGGUAGAGCUCGCAUGGAAACGCGGCCCUCAAAGGAACAUGCGCGAUGCGCGUGUGUAUGGUCACCUAAUUCUGAGGAGCUCAAGGGGAAAAGAAGGGACAGGCCAAAAAGGCAAACAACGAGGACAAAUAAGGCUCUCGAGUCUAACUCCGGAUAAAUUCACAAACAGGGAACCACUGUUGGGCCGGGCCUGGAGGCGAUGAUAGCCCGGGCUGAUGACUUCCAGCCGGAGGCCAGCAGCGAUACAGGUCUCCAGGAAA